GGGGAUACAGCUCAGUUGGUAGAGUAUUUGCCUUGCGUGCAGAAGAGCCUGGGUUCAAUCCCUAACACCGCCC
rnacentral:tRNA from 1 species